AUGGCUCAGGACGAACGCUGGCGGCAUGCCUAACACAUGCAAGUCGAACGGACGAGGGUAGCAAUACCCGAGUUAGUGGCGAACGGGUGAGUAACACGUGAGCAACCUGCCCUUUACACUGGGAUAGCAGUUGGAAACGACUGAUAAUACCGGAUAAGACCACAUUCCCGCAUGGGAGAGGGGUCAAAGUGCUUUAGCGGUAAAGGAUGGGCUCGCGUCCAAUUAGCUAGUUGGUGAGGUAACGGCCCACCAAGGCGACGAUUGGUAGCCGACUUGAGAGAGUGAUCGGCCACACUGGAACUGAGACACGGUCCAGACUCCUACGGGAGGCAGCAGUGGGGAAUAUUGGGCAAUGGAGGAAACUCUUACCCAAGCAAUGCCGCGUGAGGGAUGGAGGUCCUAUGGAUUGUAAACCUCUUUGAUUAGGGAACAAAGAAAGUGAUGGUACCUAAAGAACAAGCCCCGGCUAACUAUGUGCCAGCAGCCGC
rnacentral:rRNA from 1 species